rfam:Felis catus isolate Cinnamon breed Abyssinian chromosome B4, whole genome shotgun sequence.
GCCUGGGUGGCUCAGUCGGUUAAGCGUCCGACUUCAGCUCAGGUCACGAUCUCGCGGUCCGUGAGUUCCAGCCCCGCCUCGGGCU